rnacentral:rRNA from 1 species
UAGGGAAUCUUCCGCAAUGGACGAAAGUCUGACGGAGCAACGCCGCGUGUAUGAAGAAGGUUUUCGGAUCGUAAAGUACUGUUGUUAGAGAAGAACAAGGAUAAGAGUAACUGCUUGUCCCUUGACGGUAUCUAACCAGAAAGCCACGGCUAACUACGUGCCAGCAGCCGCGGUAAUACGUAGGUGGCAAGCGUUGUCCGGAUUUAUUGGGCGUAAAGCGCGCGCAGGCGGUCUUUUAAGUCUGAUGUGAAAGCCCCCGGCUUAACCGGGGAGGGUCAUUGGAAACUGGAAGACUGGAGUGCAGAAGAGGAGAGUGGAAUUCCACGUGUAGCGGUGAAAUGCGUAGAUAUGUGGAGGAACACCAGUGGCGAAGGCGACUCUCUGGUCUGUAACUGACGCUGAGGCGCGAAAGCGUGGGGAGCAAACAGG